AUUACGUUAGAAAUUAAUUGAAACACAUAAGGGGUGUAUUUUGGUCAGAAAUAUAGUAACGAAAGGGUUAAGCAAAAGCUCUGAAGCUUUUAAAGCAAAAGAAAAUUUCUGUCUCUCCUCACCAUGACAAAGACCCUAUUCUGUCAUUACAAGCAAGCUUUUCUCCUUUAAGAUCCCCAGCAGUUAUCGAUCAGAUUGAACAGCAAACCAGGUUAAACUAAUACAAAUGUAAAUUUCCUUGUGCUGCUGUCUGAAAUUUAACAAAAUAUCUGCAGUGAUAAAUAUUAUAUCUCAUUCUUUUACACCAAAUCACUCUCCCCCACACACACAAAAUCCAUUCACUAAAAUACAAACCACUGCCCCUAAUAACUCCUAUACUUUCUAAUAAACUCAUUUUCUGAUUUCUUAUCAACAGAACCAUUUAUUAUUAUCAUUCAAAUUCUGCUGUGGUUGAUUUUUCCUUUCAUCCUUUUGGGAUUGGUUAAAUAAGUACCAGUUAUGCACUGGGUUUGAUGUAAUCAAUUUAAUCUAUUCUCCAAAUCUGAGGCAUUGUGCUUCCAGUAGGAAGGAUUAUUAUUAUUAUUAUUGCAUGCAUAGUGGGCUUGCUACCUGCAGCCUACAGGUCCAUGCUACCACGUCUGUUCAAUCAUCUAACACUUUCCUGAUGAUUAUUAUUAUUAUUAUUAUUAUUAUUCUAAUUCCUUAAAGCUGCAACAUAUUUUUGUAAUGUGGUUGCAGUUCCUAGUUUAGCCAUUCCUUUUUGUUUUGCAUCUUUUUCUUUCCUCUCUCUCUCUGGUUGAUUCCGGUGACACUUCACUUUUAUGGAAUGUACUUUAAAUCAAAGACUAAGUCUUUGACAAAAUUAUAGGGCUCAUUUUUUUUUCCUUGCUAAGGUUAACUUUGCCUUUAAUCCUUUGAUAAGAUAAACACCAGUCAAGUACUGGAUUUGCUUGAGCACUCCUUCCCUUCAAAACUGCUGGUCUUGGGCAUAAAUUAGAGACAAUUUUUAAGAUUGGUGAGAUGGCAGAAUUAUAAGUGUCAAAAAAAGACUGUCCUGCGAUAUUUUUACCAGCUCUUUCAUCCUUUCGGGGGUCAAAAGAAAAAAAUACUCAGGUCAGUUGUAUCAACUAAGUCCAUCCCCUCAAGUUUACUGACUCUUCUGUCUAACUUGUAACAACUUACCCCAAUUCAUAAAUACGGCAAAAUAUUCACAAAAAGAGUAAAAAUUUCUUAUUCAACUAUACCUAAUUUCAAGCUAGCUAUUGCUUCUUAUAACACUCAUGAGCUAAAUGAAACUAGUGAAAAACCCUUCCACUUACAACUGCCAUUGCAGUGGUAUAUAUAUAUAUAUAUAUAUAUAAACAAACGUGUGUGUGUCUGUGUGUAUUUAAUCUAGAAUUGAUUUCCAUUUCCCUUAAUAUUUAUACAUGUACAGUUAUUGUUAUGAUCAAUAUCAUAAAAUACCCAAAUACUGGAGGUUGAUUGGGUGGGGGGGAUUUUUUUUUUCUUUAAGCACAAAAAAAUAAUCCUAUGUGUUGUGGCAUUCAUGCCUUUUUGUAACAGGCAUUAACAGCAAUAGACUAACUUUGUGUCGGUUGAGAACCCAGUUCAUGUAGUAGGGGGCUCAACAUGGCACAAGUUUCCCCUGUUGCAUUAUGGGAGUUGCCACAACUACCUUAUUAAUUUAUUGAUCCUUUCACUCACAUAUUUUUAAAAAAUAAAACUUCACUUCACAUUUUUUUUUAAAACACUUAAUUGAAUUUCAAUCAAUCAUUAAAUGAUCAAUAUUCAAUAUUUGUCAUGCAGAUUGUGAUAAAGCCAGUUGCUUGACUUACCUUAAUCAUAUAUAAAUAUAAAUAUAUAUGUAAUCCCUCAAUGAAUCAUUAACCUUAUUAUAGACUCCAAGUUAAAUCAAUGCUAAUAUUUGUGUUUGGCACUCUUUGAUAAAGAAGCACUCAUUAGUUGCAGUAAUUCUUGCUAUUCAAUAGUAAACCUCUUUUUCAGAAGUUAAGUUUAAUAUACAUGUGUUUGUGGUUUCUAUCUACAUCAAGAUGGACUGAGCCAGUGAGAGCUAACGUAUAUUAGGAUGUAAACCAUCAAUCCUUUAUUUGAUUGAAUGGCAAUAUCUCGACUUAGAGAGUUGUAGUAGUAAUAAUAGUAGUAGUAGUAAUAAUAAUAAUAAUAAUAAUAAUACAAGAGAAUGCAUGUCUAUUCAUUAUGUUAGUUUCUGUUUUAAACAUUUUGGAUCUUUUAUGUGGUAUUAUAAUUGUAUUUAGCUUCAAUUUCUUCCCUAAUUCCUGGAACUUUUAGCUUUUCAAGACUGAAUUUAACUCCUGUAUAGCCCUCUCUUUUCAUUUUCUUCAGGUGCUGACGGAAAGUCACCCUGACCAGGUCAUGACCGAUUCCUAUGUCUGCACCAGAGAAGCUCUGUGUUCUGGCACUGUUUAUGUUGGAAUAAAAGUGCCUUUUCACCGUGGCAUAGUCUAUCUGGUUUUGAACUUUGCCAUAGCACUACGUCACAUCCAUUGCAGAGAUAGUUUGUGUGGUCCGAAGGUGUUUGUCAGUUUUAGAUCAUUAGCUGUGGCAAAUUCAAUCUCAAUCUCAAUCUUCUCUCAUUUGUCUCUUUGUUAGAAAAGCUGCUGCAUGUACCAUUCCCAGUUUGCACACACAUCUCACCCUACUUUGGCAUUCCAAAAUACCUUGUACAAUCAAUACAUCUUGCUUGGGUGUUUGAUCAACUAUUUCGUGAAGCUGGUCAUAAAACUCAUCAAUGUCCUCAUCGCUGUAAUCAGAUGUUGGAGCAUACACUUACACGAUAGUUAAAUUGAAGGGACUCACCCUCAGGACGAAUAGCGAUGAGUCUGCUGGACACUGGCCGGCAGCCUGUCACUGCACUCACACAGUCUUUAUUAAUUAGGAAACUUACUUCCUCCUCAUGAAUAUCUUCUCUGCCACUGAAAUAAAACUUGUGGCCCUUUUCUGUAUAGGUUUCCCCACUGUUCUUCCAUUUCAUCUCACACAGUCCAAGAAUGUUCCAGCUGUAAUUGUUCAUUUCAUGCCCCAGUUCCUCAACCUUACUUGGUGCUUGGAGUGUUCUUACAUUCCAUGUGCCAAUGGAGAUGUUCUUUGUGGCAUAAAUCUUGUUUUGUAUGUCAGUUGCAUACUUGACACUUCCAGCCUGGUGCGCAACAGAAGGUGUGGCCCUUAGAGAUCCAAGUGACAGCUGAUCAUGUACAGGUUCAACUCUGAUUGUCAUCAUUUAAUGUAGCUUGGGCAAUACAGCCCAACAAAGCCCAUCCCUCUCCAUGCCUGACCAAGGCCAACUUCCUCCAACCAGGCAGUGCACCCAGGUCAAGAACAAGUAGCCAUUAAGUUUUACUUGUAACUCUUCCGUCUUGGCCAGUAUUUUGCAACCAAGGUGGUCCUUCACCCAGUGGUGCCAUGUUCAUACCACCCCUUCACAUUGUUUAGCCGGCCUGCUGAGACCAUUGCCCAGGUUGUGACAUGAAGAACCAGACAUGAGAGAUUUAGAAGAUGGUCAAGAAUUAGUGUGCUCCCCGCACUCCUGCUCUAGUAGCAGGGUGCAACAGCCAGACUACAAAGGUACUAUCUCUGACCAGAACCCCCUAUACUCAUACAGAGACUGUGUCACAAAUGAAGAAGUGAGAGGAAGAAGGCAGGCAACGGGACCCUUUAAGGAACUUUUUAACACAGUAAAGAAAAACAAGCUCCAGUGGUUGGGCAUGUUACCUGCUCAUCAGGAAUGGCCAAAACAAUCCUUCAGGGAAUGGUCGAAGGUGGCAGGUGCAAAGGCAGACAGAGAAAGAGGAGGGUAAACAACAUCUGUGAGUGGGGAGGCCUAUCUGUGAGAGACAGAGUGGAAGGAUCAGGUCACAAGGUUACCAGUGGUGACCUCUAGUGGGCAACCAGACUACAGGAUAUGUAAUGUAAUAAUAGUAUUCAUUUGUUGAUGUGGAAUGAGAUUUUAGGCUUUUUAACUUCAGGUCUCCAGUGAAUCUCUUUUAGGUUUCUUGAUAUCUUUCAUUGUUGGCUGCCAUACACAGAUCUUGUACAUUACAACCAGUUGGUCUCUUUUCCAAUCUUUUUCUUUUCUUUUUCUUCCACCUUGUAUCAUUCAUCAUUCCAAACAUGGCCUUUUCAAGAAUUUUGAAGAUCUGUCCCAAAUGUUACACAACCUGUGUUAAAGAGGAAUGGCACCUACCAUUUACCAUUUAUGUCUGCAGUGUUUGUUGUUUUUGUUGUCCAGUGAAUCUUUCUGUAGCAGUAUGACAUCUCAAAAAGUAUUGAUCUCUUUCUCAUGGCUUAUCAUUCAUGUAAGCAGUUUAAUUGGAAAUCAAUAAGAUUUAAAUCUUAAUCUUUUUAAACUGUAGACUCUGUGUCACCAUUUAACAUCAUCAUUACAAACACAAUGUACUUACUACUGUCACACACACACACACACACUUGUAUUCAAAGCAGAUUUCAGCACAUUUGGAAAAUUCCAAAAUCCAUUUUGUUCAGAUUCCUGUUAAAAUUUUUUUUUUUACAGUUAGAAAAUAGAUAUUUCAUUUUUAAAUUAUAGCCUGUAAAUAUAUUUUUAAAACUUACUAAAAUAAAUAGAGAAAAGGACUUUUAAAAUAAAAGUAAAAUAAAGACUUGGUCAUUAAGGAUUAAAAUUCUAAAUAAAGAACACCAAUUUUGUUUUCCUAAACCUUUUGCUACCAUAUUUCUGUUGACAUCUACUGCCUCUGUUUCAAUUAAUUUUGAAAAUAAUAAAGAAUUUAGUUAAAUAAUAUUAUCGUUAAUUAAGCUGAUGUUUGGAACAUAAAUUAAGAUGAAAUUUUGAUUGUUUUAAUUUAGAUAAUUUUAAAGCAGGAAGUUCAUAUCAAAGAACUCAGAGAGUUUGGUAUCAAAAGGAUUAAAAUCUAUGGCUACAAUUAACAUUGUAGCAGCCUGUAUCUGAGACCAUUGUUUGUUUUAUUUGGUCUUAUGUUAGGGAAAUAUUAAUAUUCUAGUUUUGGUCCUGAGAAAUAUAAGAAUAUCAAAAAUUAUUUUGGUUGGUACCAAAAUUAUAUUGAUUGGUGCCAAAAUUAUAUUGAUUGGUGCCCCUGUUUUACAUUUCAGUUUACUUGUAUGUUUUUGUUGUUAAUUGUUUCUCAUGUAAUAUUUGUUGUUGAUGUCAGCUGAUAUGAGGAAAUUGAUUUCUUGUUGUGUGUGAAAAAAAAUAAAACAUGAAAAUAUUGAGUUUGUACAGGAGGUAUCAAUUAUAUUAAGUAUUCAUUUAUGUAAGGCACCAAAUAUAUAAACAUGGGGAAAAAAUACAGUGUAAAUGAACAUUGUUAAUUGAAACCAUGUUAGCAAGGAAAAGGUCAUAGAAAUGGAGUGUGAAUGUGAUGGUGCAUUAAUCUACCCUGUGCUACCCUGGGAAAAGUGAUGGAAAAAUUACAAUACACACACACAUAAAAUUUCAUGCCAAAAAUUGUCAAACCAUUUUAUUUAAAUGUAAUUUUUGGUGGGAUUGGUCAAUAUAAAUUUCCAUGACAACCUAUUGUAGAAUACACUAAAAGGUUUUUCUGUGGGUAAAUAAUGAUAUAAGUUGUUAUACCAGGGUACUUCAGUGUUCUUUUUAUAUCUCAUAAACUUAGCAAGAUAAGGGUGCAAUAUUUAAUAUAUUUAGUUGAUUUUUAACUUAAUCUUCAUAUAAUUCAUACCUUUCUCUAAGUUUUCAAAUUCAGGUUGUUCAUACAUUUCAUUAUUAUUUAAUUUAUGAAGAAUAUAAAUACAAUGAGUUCAUUGGAUGAAAUGCUCAAAUGAAGUACAUAAUUACAUUUACAUAUUGAUUACUUAUACAUAUUUUAUUGAUUAUGUGGGUGUGUAUAGCACAUAUAUUGCGUGUGUAUACACGUGUUUGCCCAAUAAUACUUUUCACAGUAAAAAGUCUCAGUAUUUACAAGAAUUUUUAAACAGUAUUAAUAUAUUAGAUUUAUUUCUGGAUAUGCUUAAGAGUUUACUGUAAAUGGUAAAGACAUGUCGGCAGCAAAAGAUUUGCAGGGAAAGGAAAGAGGGUAGGAGGGAAUGUAAUGUGAAAUAAAAUAGACACCAGCAAAGAUUGAAACCUGAUUUCAGUGCCAUCAAGACGAUGGCAGAUCUACGUCUGCUUCUUCCACCUAUAUUUCAAAAUAUAAUUUGGAAUAUUGCAUAAUUCAAUUGGAGAUUUUU
rnacentral:lncRNA from 1 species